ACCGAAACCCCCUGGGGACGGACACCCGCAUGUGGCAGCAGCCCCAGAGAUCAAGUGCACAGGGCUUCCAGGGGAAGUGAAAGCUGGAGUACCCCUGGGGCCCCCAAAACCCCCCAGGCCAGCUGGCCACAGCCCACCCCCGCGGGCCUCUUUGCCCUGAGCCAAAGCUCACAAGCCCCAUGCUGGACAGCAGAACUAAACCACUUAUUAGGGCUGCUGCCUCCGUGUGUCCCCUCCGGGCCUGAGAGGCAUAGAAAGGCCCAGCCACACACACUGCACUUACGGAGCAAAGAGGAAUCUUUCAUCUGUUGGACGGUGCAGGAGAGGAAGGGACAACUCAUAGCCUGCCUGCAGACCACUGAAGUUGUCCCACAGAAGUCGACUGACCUACUGAGCCCUCCACGCUGCAGGGUGAGCAAGAGUGACUCAGCACAGACUGGACUCACUCGGAGCAUUACAGUAAAAGGAAAUGCCAGAAGCAGAAGCCCGACGUUGGGAGUGAAGCAGUCCAUUUUUGAGCAACCUAAAGAUGUCAGCGAGUCUCCGGCCAGCCGAGCAUUAAGUUCUAGGAACAGCAUGUGGGAACUGAGCCUGAGAGGGGUGGGGUGGGGUAUGGUGGGGUCAGAGCUUGCAGGAAUGCGGAUCUGACUUUAUCCUAAGGGCAGUGGGCAGGCAGGGCUGGGUGGUGGGUGGAGAUGGUGACAUGUAGAUGAAUUCUUUGAGACAGGCAGACAGCAUGGGUUAUAUCCAGGUUAUAUCCAGGUGUGAGAUAAGUGGCCUGGAGUUUUCCAAUGGAUAGGUGCAGAAGGUAUUUAGGGGGGAUUGACAGGCCUUGGAGGUGAACCAGGUGGGGGGCAGGAAGGGAGAAUUCACAGGGGUCCGACUCCAUAAAGAUGCUUUUCCUUGAGAUGGGGACACAGGAAGAGGUGGGGCUCUGAGCAGGAGUUUGCUUGUGGAAACAUUCUAUUUUAGGUGUAGCUGGGACAUAGGAAUGGAGAUGUCCCAUUGGUGGUUCAUGUGGACAUUCUGGAACUCAGGCAGAGCUGCCUGGCCGUGCAGGCGUGGGUCCCCGGCAUGUUGAAUGGAUCUAAGAAGGCUUGGAAGCGCACAACCUGACUGGGAAGAGCGGGGAGGAGAGAAAAAAGGACUAAGGCAGAACCCAGGGCCCCACAUCUAAAUCCAGUCAUUCAUACACCACCCUCACUAUCUGUAUUUGCCAUUUCAGUACAUCCCUUCUAUUGUCUUCUAUUAAAUAGAAAGUUCUUGGGCAUCUGGUGGCUCAGUUGGUUGAGCAUCUGUCUUCUGCUCAGGUCAUGAUUCCAGGGUCCUGGGAUCCAGGCUUCUCCCUCUCCCCACUGCUUGUGCUCUCUCUCAAAUAAAUAAAUCAAAUCUAGAAAAAAAAAAAAAAAA
rnacentral:lncRNA from 12 species